GCAGUUGGAAGCGCGAGAUGACGCCCCGGCCACGCAGCCUGGAAGAGGACAAGCACUCCACUGGACGUGAUGCCUAAUUAAGGCAACAGCAACAACAAAAUCACUUCCAACAGCUGAGGAACAGGAAGAUUUAUAAACACUUCUUAAGUAAAAUUUCAAUUGAAUAUAUAUAAACACGUAUCAGGAGUUCGAGACCAGUUUCCGCAACAUGGUGAAACCCCGUCUGUACUAAAAAUACAAAAAAAAAUUAGCCAGGCAUGGUGGCGGGUGCCUGAAAUCCCAGCUACUCGGGAAGCUGAGGCAGGAGAAUCGCUUGAACCUAGGAGGCAGAGGUUGCAGUGAGCAGAAAGACCUUACCACUGCACUCCAGCCUGGGUGAGAGAGCGAAAUUCCGUCAAAAAAAAAAAAAAAAAAAAAAAAAAGAACGAAACAAAAAACGAAAAAAAGUAUAUAAUAAAUCAUAAGUUCACAGGUCAAUUAAUAUUCAAGUGGAAAAAAAAAACAGCGUAACUAGUACCACGAUGAAGAAAUGAAAAAGAACCACCCAAAUCCCCAGAUUCCAACCUCACAACCAUGACUUCUAAACAACCAAAGAUUCGUUUUGUCUGUUUUUGAACUUUUCGCAAGUAGAAGCAAUCACCAUCUACUCUUUCAUGUCUGGGUUCUUUUAAUAGGAUGAUUGUAAGGUUCAUACAAAGCAAUAGUUCUGUUUUAUCCUCAUUGGUGUAUAUUACAAAUUCAUUAAAUAUAACACCACUUGUGUUUCC
rnacentral:lncRNA from 1 species